rnacentral:rRNA from 1 species
AUUGCACGCUAGCGGGAUGCUUUACACAUGCAAGUCGAACGAGUGGCGGACGGGUGAGUAAUAUAUCGGAACGUGCCCAGUAGCGGGGGAUAACUACUCGACAGAGUGGCUAAUACCGCAUCCUAAUGGAGCGGCCGAUAUGGGAUUAGCUAGUUGGUGGGGUAAAGGCUCACACAGGCAACGAUCCGUAGGUGGUUUGAGAGGACGACCAGCCACAAUGGGACUGAGACACGGCCCAGACUCCUGCGGGAUGCAGCAGUGGGGAAUUUUGGACAAUGGGGGAAACCCUGAUCCAGCCAUCCCGCGGGUAUGAGAAGGCCUUCGGGUUGUAAAGUACUUUUUGCAGAGAAGCGGUAUCUACAGAAUAAGCACCGGCUAACUCCGUGCCAGCAGCCGCGGUAAUAC